UAUUUUCGACUCAGAGACGAAAAUUCAAAAUAUGAGGGAUAUUCUACAAUCAACUCGCAAAGAUAAACGGACAAUCACCAUAAAAGGCAAACGUAAGGAAGUUAAGGAAAUAAUUGGUACGACCGAGUGGACUCGAACCACCGACCCCCACCA
rnacentral:antisense_RNA from 1 species